ACGGGUGAGUAACGCGUGGGAACGUGCCCUUCGGUUCGGAAUAACUCAGGGAAACUUGAGCUAAUACCGGAUACGCCCUUAUGGGGAAAGGUUUACUGCCGAAGGAUCGGCCCGCGUCUGAUUAGCUAGUUGGUGAGGUUACGGCUCACCAAGGCGACGAUCAGUAGCUGGUCUGAGAGGAUGAUCAGCCACACUGGGACCGAGACACGGCCCAGACUCCUACGGGAGGCAGCAGUGGGGAAUAUUGGACAAUGGGGGCAACCCUGAUCCAGCCAUGCCGCGUGAGUGAUGACGGCCUUAGGGUUGUAAAGCUCUUUUCUCCGGGACGAUAAUGACGGUACCGGAGGAAUAAGCCCCGGCUAACUUCGUGCCAGCAGCCGCGGUAAUACGAAGGGGGCUAGCGUUGCUCGGAAUCACUGGGCGUAAAGGGCGCGUAGGCGGCUGAUUUAGUCGAGGGUGAAAGCCCGUGGCUCAACCACGGAAUGGCCUUCGAUACUGGUUGGCUUGAGACCGGAAGAGGACAGCGGAACUGCGAGUGUAGAGGUGAAAUUCGUAGA
rnacentral:rRNA from 1 species